rnacentral:sRNA from 1 species
CACACACACACACACACCCCACGCAUUCAAGCAGCCCUGGUGUUGUACAGAUCAUCCGAGGCGACGUUUCUCGAUUCGAUCAUGGCCACCAAGAUGUUCCGCGCCGCCGUCGUCGUCGUCGCUGCCGCGGUGUCUUGCCUCGCCGGGGUUGCUCUGGCUGCCGAUGGGCCCGCGCCGAGCCCGACGUCCGGCGCCGCCGCCGUCUCGUCCUCGGUCGUCGCCGCCGUUCUCUGCCCGGCCGUGGCGCUCCUCUUCGCCAACCUGCGCUACUGAGUUGGUUGAGGUCGUCGCAGCGCGCGCGUGUCCAUGAGGCUGGCUCCAUGAACGACUCUGUUCUUCUCUGCUUGAUCACUCGCCUAGUGUGCCUUCUUUACCCCCCUGGUUCUUACCUGUACUUAGCUUCUUCCUUCCGGUGCGCUAGAUUAACCGUUCUUGCCUUCUUGUGAUACGCAUCUAUGUGUAUUGAUUCAGAUCAUUUCAUACCAUCAUUUGGAACUAUUUAUUAAUUGCUCCGUUAUAUGCCGGCCUGUGAAAUUAAUCGUCGU